GAGUUGGCUGGAGGCUCAGGCAGCGCGAGGGAGAGGAGGAGGGCGAGGUGCUGCCCAGUGGAGUAGUGGGGAGCCAUGGCACGGCCAGGACUCGGGAGAGGAGGCCGGCAGCUCACAGCAGACCGUGGGGCUCAGCUGGCCUGCCGUGUGCUUGGGUAUGACGCCGUGCCCAUCCAGUCCAGCGUGGUGUUAUGUUCCUGCCCAUCCCCAUCAAUGGUGAGGACCCAGACUGAGUCCAGCACGCCCCCUGGCAUUCCUGGUGGCAGCAGGCAGAGCCCUGCCAUGGAUGGCACUGCAGCCGAGCCUCGGCCUGGUGCUGGCUCCCUGCAGCAUGCCCAGCCUCCGCCACAGCCUCGGAAGAAGCGGCCUGAGGACUUCAAGUUUGGGAAAAUUCUUGGGGAAGGCUCUUUUUCCACGGUUGUCCUGGCUCGAGAACUGGCAACCUCCAGAGAAUACGCGAUUAAAAUUCUGGAGAAGCGACAUAUCAUAAAAGAGAACAAGGUCCCGUAUGUAACCAGAGAGCGGGAUGUCAUGUCGCGCCUGGAUCACCCUUCUUUGUUAAGCUUUA
rnacentral:sRNA from 1 species